rnacentral:rRNA from 1 species
CCUACGGGAGGCAGCAGUGGGGAAUAUUGCACAAUGGGGGAAACCCUGAUGCAGCGACGCCGCGUGAGUGAAGAAGUAACUCGUUAUGUAAAGCUCUAUCAGCAGGGAAGAAAAUGACUGUACCUGAGUAAGAAGCUCCGGCUAACUACGGGACAGAAGCCGCGGUAAGACGUAGGGGGCAAGCGUUAUCCGGAUUUACUGGGUGUAAAGGGAGCGUAGAAGGCAGUGCAAGUCUGGAGUGAAAGGCGGGGGCUCAACCCCCGGAAUGCUGUGGAAACUGUACGUCUGGAGUGCAGGAGAGGUAAGUGGAAUUCGUAGUGUAGCGGUGAAAUGCGUAGAUAUUAGGAGGAACACCAGUGGCGAAGGCAGAUUACUGGACUGUAACUGACGUUGAGGCUCGAAAGCGUGGGGAGCAAACAGGAUUAGAUACCCCAGUAGUC